CAGUAGCCGCGGUAAUACGGAGGGAGCUAGCGUUGUUCGGAAUUACUAGGCGUAAAGCGCGCGUAGGCGGUUACUCAAGUCAGAGGUGAAAGCCCGGGGCUCAACCCCGGAACUGCCUUUGAAACUAGGUGACUAGAAUCUUGGAGAGGUCAGUGGAAUUCCGAGUGUAGAGGUGAAAUUCGUAGAUAUUCGGAAGAACACCAGUGGCGAAGGCGACUGACUGGACAAGUAUUGACGCUGAGGUGCGAAAGCGUGGGGAGCAAACAGGAUUAGAUACCCCUGUAGUCCCUGUCUCUUAUAC
rnacentral:rRNA from 1 species